GAUGAACGCUGGCGGCGUGCCUAACACAUGCAAGUCGAGCGGAGAAUUGUUGCUUGCAACAAUUCUUAGCGGCGGACGGGUGAGUAACACGUGGGUAACCUGCCCUAAACAAAGGGAUAACAAUGAGAAAUCAUUGCUAAUACCGUAUAAGCUUACACUAUCGCAUGAUAGAGUAAGAAAAGAUUUAUCGGUUUAGGAGGGGCCCGCGUCUGAUUAGCUAGUUGGAGAGGUAACGGCUCACCAAGGCGACGAUCAGUAGCCGACCUGAGAGGGUGAUCGGCCACAUUGGGACUGCGACACGGCCCAACCUCCUACGGGAGGAAGCAGUGGGGAAUAUUGCACGAUGGAGGAAACUCUGAUGCAGCAACGCCGCGUGAAGGAAGAAGGUUUUCGGAUCGUAAACUUCUAUCUACAGGGAAGAAAAAAAUGACGGUACCUGAGGAAGAAGCCCCGGCUAACUACGUG
rnacentral:rRNA from 1 species